GGUUGGCAGGGAGUCCCUGCUGGGCAGCAGCAGUGGGGUGAAGGGCGUGACCCACCCCCACCCCCACAACCCCACCUUCCCACCCCAUUCUGAAUGCUCAGGAUCGCUGUGGGAGGACUAAAGUUUGGAGUGAGGGACACAGAGAAGGUGGAGGGAGAAACCUCCAGAACUUCGGAAGCCACACGACAAGGCUUCCUGUUUUUCUGGCCUCGCUCCCAAGGCCAGAAACCAUCCAGUUAAAGGAGUCUUAUGGAAGGCGAUCCUGGGAGUUGGCCAAGGUCUAUGUGACCCUUGGAACUGCAAAUACCUAAUCUGGAGAACCACAUGGACCAGAAAACACAGACUGGAGUCAGGCGAUCCAGAUUCCGAGCCGA
rnacentral:lncRNA from 1 species